AGUGAACGCUGGCGGCAGGCCUAAUACAUGCAAGUCGAACGGCAGCACAGCAGAGCUUGCUCUGUGGGUGGCGAGUGGCGGACGGGUGAGGAAUACAUGGGAAUCUGCCCAGUCGUGGGGGAUAACGUAGGGAAACUUACGCUAAUACCGCAUGCGCCCUUCGGGGGAAAGCCGGGGACCUUCGGGCCUGGCGCGAUUGGAUGAGCCCAUGUCGGAUUAGCUAGUUGGCGGGGUAACGGCUCACCAAGGCGACGAUCGUUAGGUGGUUUGAGAGGACGAUCACCCAGACUGGGACUGAGACACGGCCCAGACUCCUACGGGAGGCAGCAGUCGGGAAUUUUGCACAAUGGGCGAAAGCCUGAUGCAGCAACGCCGCGUGAGGGAUGAAGGCCUUCGGGUU
rnacentral:rRNA from 1 species